rnacentral:rRNA from 1 species
UACGUAGGGCGCAAGCGUUGUCCGGAAUUAUUGGGCGUAAAGAGCUCGUAGGCGGCUUGUCGCGUCGGCUGUGAAAGCCCGGGGCUUAACCCCGGGUCUGCAGUCGAUACGGGCAGGCUAGAGUGUGGUAGGGGAGAUCGGAAUUCCUGGUGUAGCGGUGAAAUGCGCAGAUAUCAGGAGGAACACCGGUGGCGAAGGCGGAUCUCUGGGCCAUUACUGACGCUGAGGAGCGAAAGCGUGGGGAGCGAACAGG